AUCAGGCCUCGUGGAGUUUUGAAAAGAGCAAAAUAACCACCAAGAAUAAGGCCAUAAGUAUUUAAAUAUUUAUGUAAAUGUCUGUAUGAGUGAGUGUGAGUGCAUGUUUGUAGGCAUUUAAGACCAUCACUGACUCAAAGGUUGUUAAUUGUCUCAUUGCUACGAAUUCAGAUGUUAUAAAACUUGUGCCAAGUUGAACACCUGUUCCUCUUCACGUUCCACCUGGCCAUCUGCAAAUCAUUUUAACACAGAUGAGAAUUUAUAUCUAGUGGUCAAAUAUACUUGUCAUCUUUUUGGGCCUGAUCAUUUAUAUUAUAUUGCAUGUUGUGUUUGGAGUACCUGCACUCACAAGGCUAUGAUAAAGAGACUGAUUGUUUUCAUCACUCUGCAUUUGUUACCAAGGCAGCCAUAUCCGAGAAACAGCGCCAGCAGGAAAAAACUUUAUUCACAGACUGACAGAAUGGCUUAAUGCUGCUCAGUCAUUGCCAGAGGAAUUUAAGAAAUUAGGGAUUUUUUAAAACCUUUAUUUAGGAAAAGUCAUCUUAGGCUGGGUGUCAUAGCUUUCCCCAGACACACGGAUAAAUCUGAAAAAUCUGGAUUGUUUAAAUACAGCAUUUGUUUCCAUAUAUCUCCACCACCCAGAUAUCCUUACUCCACCUGACAAAUCUCCUUAACUCUUCUCUAUAUGUCUGGUUUCUGGAAUUUGACUUAUCCAAAGACAGAAAAUAUUUUAAGAUCACAGACACUACACUGCAAAUUACUUUAAGGAUGUCACAAGAUUUAACUGUAAUAUUUCACAAUAAAUCAUACUAUUAUCACUUUAUAGGCUUUACCUGUGAUAUUUCACAAUAUAAUAUUGUAUUCUGAAUUUUACUGUGCGUCCUUGCAGGCAUUGAUGUUACAUAGGAAGUUACUGUGAAAUCUGAAUUUGAACUUCACUGUACAGCACUGUGGGAUUGACAUCGUCAUUUGGGACUUUAGUUCAGAUACAGUGAGUAACAAAAUCAAGUUUAUUAUCUAAUUAACUGACAAGAUAAUGUAUAUUAUUUUACCCUGUAAUGGAAUACUUGUAACAAUGUUACAUACUUGGGAUUCAGAAAAAAAGACAUAAUCAGAUUACUGUUACAUUUAGUAAAAUUAUUAGCAGAAUUACAAUUUGCUGACCAUCCACGGUUUGACAAUCUGUUAACAAGCCAUGGACGGUUGGCAAGAGCACUUGUGCUUGCAGCCAUGUCUCUCGCUCUGUCAUCAUGAAAGCUGCAGCGUGUAGUUGGCACGCCCACUAUGCCUGCAGAGAGUGGAAGCAGACCGCUGCACACACACUGACGCACCAACAGUAGCUAACGUUAUAGUAACUGCAUGAGAAGAUGCAUUCCGUUUAUUUGCUAAGUUUAAAGUAGUUUAAAAUAAAUAAACCUCUGACUCUGCUGUCAUCUGCUGGCUGAACACUGAAACACACACUUAAUAAAAUUAAGUUAAACACAGAAUUAGGUAAAAGUCAUCUUAUUGAUAUUUAUUCUCUCUUUAUCUGCAUAUUUGGUAUUGAAGUAAUACAAGAGUAACGGAAAGUAAUCAAGUUACUUUACUAUUAUGAUACUUGGAUUAGGUUACUUAUUAUGUUUUUUAACAGGUAAUUAGUAAUUGUAUUGGAUUACAUUUUAAAAGUAGCCCUCCCAACUCUAGCUGUUUGCCGUAUGUGUAUUUUUGAAGCUGGAGUGAAGAGUUAGCACAUGGAGAUAUGGUAGCUAAGCUAACUGUCAUCCGGUUAGCGUGAGCGCGCUCACUUUUAAAUAGGCUCAUGUCUAACGUUAUCUGCAACGUUAACCUAACUUUAUUAUGGUUUGUAGUAAAGAAAUAUUAUCUAGCUAAUCUGAUUUUGGAAGCUCAUUUUGAAUGUUUUGAACAUCAUCUGUUAGCUUGUGUCAGUGCCGGCAGCAUUCUCUCCUGCUGUUGUCCUCGUUACUGCAGCGCUUGACACUGUGGAAACUGAAGACCGCUGGCUAAGGCUAGUGCCACAGCCACUGAUGUCCAGUGUACUGUGGCAGCAGGUAAACCUAGCUUUAUUGUCCAAGGUAAUGUUGAUAUUUAAUGUAUACCUCAUAUUGCCAGUCUUUGCAUAGUAAGAUAAGAUGGGUACAUCCUGUUUAGUUUAAAAGGUCAUAAUGAAGCUGAGGGCUUGGAUGACAUCUAUUGAAGGUCAAGUGCUUGUGGGACCUCAGGACUUCACCAGUGGUUUGGCACCUUCUUUGCAAGCUACUACAAUUUCAUUCUGCACUAUGCCGAAGAUGCCUCAUGCACUUAGAAUUCAUCAAAAGGUAAUGUAAUAAUCUUUAAAAUAAUAUUGUACUUUGAGUGCUGGCUAGUUCUCUUAACAUUCCAGCUUACGUUUCCACUGCUUUUGGCUUGCUGCUAACUAUGAGUCGGUUGGUUGUUGGUUGGUAGGGGUGGCUGGAUGACUGGCUUUCUUUGUGGCAUUCAGUCCUGACAUUUAGAACAGAGUAAUUCAGUCCUGACAUUUAGACCAGAGUAAUUAUCACCACAUAACUUUUGCUCCGUUGUUGUCCAAAAACUAUGAAAAGCACGUCAGUGAGCCACACUGCUAUACUGGGUAACGUGUUCCUUCAUCACUGAAGACAGUGGCUAUGGUAGCUUGUUUAGAAACGGCUUCAAAGACUAAAAAUCAUCACCCACAACAGUGUGGCUCAUGAAGUUCUUUUAAUAGUUUUUUUGGAAAAAAAAUUGAGCUCUGCAGCACAGGUGAAUAAGAUAGAUCAGGCUUUGGAUACACACAUGACACUUGUAAGUAGGAUGAAUUCAUUGUUGGUUUGGCUCCACACAUGAAAUUUGUUGACAAUAAAAUCUAGCUGGUCAAGGAGCAUGAACCAGUUAGUAGUGACCUUCAUCUGAUUAGAUGUCACUCUUAACCCUGUCAUGUAUAGUGGUCACUACAGUGGACAGAUAUUCAAAAGCUGUUUUCUUGUAUAUGCAUGGGUUUUGAUGGUAUAGUUGUACAUUAGCCACCACAGUGGACACUAUUGCAUCAUCCUGUACCCUGCCCCCCACUGGCCAGCCAUUGUAAGUGCAACAUAAAUUUCUCAAAACCAAGAUGGCCGACAGACAGCCAGGAACUCUAAGCAGCUCAGGAAUAUCUUGUCAAUCCUUCUAUAGUAGGAGACCUUUGCAGAGGUCAAUCACAGUGCAUGAUAGAAAGGCCUACAGGAUAGUGGCACAAGUACCAUCUGAGUCAAGUGAGGAUGAUGCUAGCGGCAGUGAUGAUGACUGGCUGCCAGAAAAAAAAGGAUUAGCAAAUGCUAGCAGUAGUGACAGUGGAGAUGAGGAUGCUGAGGGAGCUGAGAAUGUUGACGGAACGGAGGAUGUGCCACCUGACAGAGCUCAAGGACAGAAAAGAAGCAGAAUGUCUGGAAAAACAAAGACAAUCAAUAUGAGAGACUUGCCUCCUUUUUUAGGAGAGUGUAAUGUGAAUGUUGAGGGAAUAGAGCCAAUAGAUUUCUUUAUUUAUCUAUUUCCUGAAGACCUGAUAAAUGAAAUAGUGCACAAUACAAAUCUGUAUGCACUCCAAAAUGGAAAAGAAAAUCUGGCCUUGACAAAAGAAGAAAUGAAGAAAUUUCUAGGAGUUAAUAUGGUCAUGUCAUACCUCAGAUACCCAAGAUCAAGAAUGUGCUGGUCAUCUGAGGAAGGGCUGCGUCUUGAUUUGAUAGCAAAUCCCAUGCCAGUGAACAGAGUUGAGCAGAUUCUGAGGUACAUUCACUUUGUUGAUAAUUACUCAAAGGAGCCAAGCAAUGCUGAUAAGCUGUUCAAGCUCAGACCAGUGUUAGAUACACUCGAGAAAACCUUCCAUUCAGCAGUCGAUCCUGAAGAAUUUCAAUCAAUUGAUGAGCAGAUCAUUCCUUUCAAGGGCCACCUGUCUCUCAGGCAGUACAUUCCCCAAAAAACCAAACCCUGAGGUGUGAAAGUGUGGGUGUGAGCAGGGACCUCUGGAUACAUGUACAGAUUUGAAGUGUAUCAGGGUUCAGCUGGACGUGGUCAGGUCAGUCAGUUGGGAAUGGCUGCAGAUGUAGUCAUGCGCCUUUGUGAUGAUAUACAGCACAAAAAUCGAAAGGUGUUUUUUGACAACUUCUUUUGCACCAUUCCGCUCCUUCAGGCAUUGCAACAACAGGGCAUCUAUGGCACUGGCACAUGCAGAAUCAACAGACUGCAGAGAGCACAACUGAAACUGAAGAGUGAAAAGCAACUCAACAAUGAAGGAAGAGGAGCUUGCUCUGUUGUCAGCUAUGCUUAAAACAUCACUGCCACACAUUGGCUGGAUAGUUCAGUGAUACACAUGGUCUCUUCCAGAUUUGGCCCAGAGAUGGAGCAAGAAAGAAAAAAAGAUGCUUGACAUCCAAAGGCCAUUUUCCGUGAAGCUGUACAAUCAGCAUAUGGGAGGAGUAGAUCUCAUGGAUCAGUGUGUCGCAAUGUAUCCCCACAGACGCAAAAAAAACAAAAAAUGGUGGUGCAUCCGAGUGUUCUUUCACUUCUUGGAUGUGACCAUUGUGAAUGCCUGGCACCUCUACAGAAUGUCUGGAUUGGAAAAGAGGAAUCUUUUGCAUUUCAAGGUAUCUGUAGCCCGUGCGCUAAUAAAUGCAGGUUCCAUCCAGACACACACAAGAGGAAGACCCAGUGCCACCCCACCUCCUUUGAAGCGCAGAGCAGUGUCCAAAGCACCCCCUGAGAUCAGGUUUGGCUCUGGAAACCACUGGCCCUUGUCUUUUGUUAACAGGUCCUUCUUGGGCCCGCAGACAGACAAGCUCAAAGUUAAAGAGGCAGCAUGGACACAUUAACUAAUAAGUACAUUAAUUAGAAAAGCUAUUGACUUUGAGUGGAUGUCAUUGUAGACAUGCCGUAACAGGACAGUGCAGACUUGCAUGUAACACAAGAUUUCUUCUUUUGGUGUUUUGUGAGAAUGAGUGGUUUAAAGUUUAUAUAUACGGUUGUUUUUGUGUGUUUCACAAUUUCACUGUUCACUUUUCUUGAAUGAACUCUGAAUGAUCAAUUGGCAGUACCUAAACCCCUUAAAGCUUUAUUAGGGGAGUGCGUGACCACUAAGCUGAUUCAAAAACAAACUCAUAGCAACAGCCCUGAUAAAUACUGAUACCUGACCCUGAUACUCCAUGAAGUCACAGCAUACUGCAGCUUUCUGGAUAGGCAGGCUUUUGAAAUUAGAGGGUGCCGUUUGAUUUAGUGUUCAUUUAAAACGUAUUUAAUAGAGGAUGAUAGUGAGGCUCAGCUUCAAUUUCAUUUAGUGUUUACUGAGAGUGAAAGCAAGAUGGAACAGGAACAGCAGCAACUCUGUGUUGCUGCUUUUCUUGGCCAGGUCUCCCUUGUAAGAGAUAUUUGAUCUCAAUGGGACAGACCUGGUUAAAUAAAGGCUAAAAAAACAGGUUGAUGAAAAACUGCAAAAAUAUUAUUGAGGAUAUUAACUAAUUCAUCCUUUUUCAGUUAUUUAUAUCUUAUUUUAUUUUCUUAUUUUAUAACUUUAAUGAAUAUUUCAGACUUAGUAGAGAACUAUGUUGUUAAUCAGUUUCCUUCCAGACAUACACAAGGCACACAAUCUUACACUGCCCAGCAUCAGGUCUGAAAGGAUAUGUUCACAUUUUUCAAGUCUGUCAUUAAACAAUACUGACAUGUCCUUCUUGUUAUGGAAUUUUCCAUCUUUAGGGGUUACAAAUUGAGUUAU